rnacentral:rRNA from 1 species
GGAUAACCUGCCCUAUUGUCUGGAAUAACCUCGGGAAACUGAGAACAAGGCCGGAUAGCCCACAAUGCCUGGAACGGUUUGUGGGUGAAGAUAGGAUGGGUCUGCGGCGUAUCAGGUUGUAGGGGGUGUAAUGGACCUCCUAGCCAUCGACGCGUACGGGUGUUGGGAGACAUAGCCCGGAGAUGGAUUCUGAGACACGAAUCCAGACCCUACGGGGUGCAGCAGGCGCGAAAACUUCACACUGCAGGAAACUGUGAUGAGGGAACUCCAAGUGCUAUCACUAUGUGGUAGCUUUUCUUGACUAUUAAUCGGUCAUGGAAUAAGGGCUGGGAAAGACCGGUGCCAGCCGCCGCGGUAAUACCGGCAGCUCAAGUGGUCGUCGCUUUUAUUGGGCCUAAAACGUCCGUAGCCUGUUUGGUAAAUCUGUGGGUAAAUCAACCAGCUUAACUGGUUGAAUUCUGCAGAGACUGCCAGACUAGGGACCGGGAGAGGUGUGGGGUACUCUAGGGGUAGGGGUAAAAUCCUGUCAUCCUUAGAGGACCACCAGUUGCGAAGGCGCCACACUGGAACGGAUCCGACGGUCAGGGACGAAGCCUAGGGGCACGAACCGGAUUAGAUACCCGGGUAGUCCUAGGUGUAAACGCUGUGAACUUGGUGUCGGGGAUCCGUAAUGGGUCCUCGGUGCCGGAGUGAAGAUGUUAAGUUUACUGCCUGGGGAGUACGGUCGCAAGGCUGAAACUU